GACGAACGCUGGCGGCGUGCCUAAUACAUGCAAGUUGAGCGAUGAAGAUUGGUGCUUGCACCAAUUUGAAGAGCAGCGAACGGGUGAGUAACGCGUGGGGAAUCUGCCUUUGAGCGGGGGACAACAUUUGGAAACGAAUGCUAAUACCGCAUAACAACUUUAAACAUAAGUUUUAAGUUUGAAAGAUGCAAUUGCAUCACUCAAAGAUGAUCCCGCGUUGUAUUAGCUAGUUGGUGAGGUAAAGGCUCACCAAGGCGAUGAUACAUAGCCGACCUGAGAGGGUGAUCUGCCACAUUGGGACUGAGACACGGCCCAAACUCCUACGGGAGGCAGCAGUAGGGAAUCUUCGGCAAUGGACGAAAGUCUGACCGAGCAACGCCGCGUGAGUGAAGAAGGGUUUCGGAUCGUAAAACUCUGUUGGUAGAGAAGAACGUUGGUGAGAGUGGAAAGCUCAUCAAGUGACGGUAACUACCCAGAAAGGGACGGCUAACUACGUG
rnacentral:rRNA from 1 species